rnacentral:rRNA from 1 species
GGUGUGGGUAGCGGAGAAAUUCCAAUCGAACUUGGUGAUAGCUGGUUCUUUCCGAAAUAGCUUUAGGGCUAGCCUCGAGGUAUAGAGUCAUGGAGGUAGAGCACUGUUUGGACCAGGGGCCCUUCUCGGUUUACCGAAUUCAGAUAAACUCCGAAUGCCAUGUACUUAUACUCGGCAGUCAGACUGCGAGUGACAAGAUCCAAAGUAGCAAGGUAAACAGCCCAGCCAAUCAGCUAAUGCCCCCAAAUCUUAGUUAAGUGGAAAAGGGUGCGGGGCUGCUUAGACAACCAGGAUGUUGUCUUAGAAGCAGCCACCAUUGAAAGUGUGCGCAAUAGUUCACUGGUCGAGUGACCCCGCGCCGAAAAUG